UGAAAUACAAUAAAUAAUAUAGGCACCUGAGUCGAAAACAGUUCACAAGUCUAUUCGUUCAAAAUUUUUAAAAUAGUUUUUUAACAUUUAUUAAAAUGCCACGUUUGUGUUUAGAUACGAACUUACCCGUAUCAAAAAUAAACCAGGACUUUUUAUCUGGUUCCUUAACUCUUCUUUCCAAUAUUUUGGAUAAAGAUUGUCAAUUCUGUUUAACAACAGUGAAUGCAGAUUUAAAAAUGACUUUAUGUAAGUCUAAUGAACCAUGUGGAAUUGUAGAAAUCAUGUGUAUUGGUAAUUUAGGACCGAAAGAAAACAAAACUCAUAUAUCCAUUAUUACAAACUAUAUGUAUCAAAAACUAGGAAUACCAAAAGAUCGUGAAACAGUCGCGUGGGACAAUUUUUUUAUAUUAACCUUGUGGUACAUUUCAAAAUCUUCAAUAUGAUGUUAGUUUGUAAAACGCAGUUGUACCAGAACAUAUACAAAAUUAUGUUUUUCUUGGAUUGUCAUAAAAGAAUACCUGAUGAAAAAAUAUUAAUUUCAAUGCGAAGCUGAGAAGCUCACACUAAACCGAUUUCAUUCUACGAUAUGUCAAAAGAUUACUUGUCUUUUUUCAUUCCAACACUUAUGAAGGCGCAGGAUAUCUCGGUACAACUCUUCACCAUUUAUACUGUCAAAAAUAAAAAACAAAUUUCCUGUAAAUUAAUGAAAAUUUAAUUAUUUAUUAUUGUUAUUAUUUAUUUAUUCAUUUCAAUACCCCGUUGGGUAAAAAUUAUUUAUCAAAUUAUUUAAUUCAAUAAUAAAAAUACAAUUAUAAUUAAACUAAACAAA